rnacentral:rRNA from 1 species
AUCGAACGCUGGCGGCAGGCUUAACACAUGCAAGUCGAACGAGUGGCGGACGGGUGAGUAACGCUUGGGAAUCUCGCUUAUGGAGGGGGAUAACUACGGGAAACUGUAGCUAAUACCGCGUACCAUAGGAUGAGCCCAAGUGGGAUUAGGUAGUUGGUGGGGUAAAGGCUCACCAAGCCGACGACCGCUAGCUGGUCGGAGAGGCUGACGAGCCACACGGGGACGGAGACACGGCCCAGACUCCUACGGGAGGCAGCAGUGGGGAAUAUUGCGCAAUGGGGGCAACCCGGACGCAGCCAUGCCGCGUGAAUGAAGAAGGCCUUCAGGUUGUAAAGUACUUUCAGCGGGGAGGCGUUACCCGCAGAAGAAGCACCGGCUAACUCCGUGCCAGCAGCCGCGGUAAUAC